rnacentral:rRNA from 1 species
AUUGAACGCUGGCGGCAUGCCUUACACAUGCAAGUCGAACGGCAGCACGGGAGCAAUCCUGGUGGCGAGUGGCGAACGGGUGAGUAAAGUAUCGGAACGUGCCAAGUCGUGGGGGAUAACGUAGCGAAAGUUACGCUAAUACCGCAUACGAUCUAUGGAUGAAAGCGGGGGAUCGCAAGACCUCGCGCGAUGGGAGCGGCCGAUAUCCGAUUAGGUAGUUGGUGGGGUAAAGGCUCACCAAGCCGACGAUCUGUAGCUGGUCUGAGAGGACGACCAGCCACACUGGGACUGAGACACGGCCCAGACUCCUACGGGAGGCAGCAGUGGGGAAUUUUGGACAAUGGGCGCAAGCCUGAUCCAGCCAUGCCGCGUGCAGGAUGAAGGCCUUCGGGUUGUAAACUGCUUUUGUACGGAACGAAAAGGUUUGACUUAAUACGUUGGACUCAUGACGGUACCGUAAGAAUAAGCACCGGCUAACUACGUGCCAGCAGCCGCGGUAA